AGAGUUUGAUCCUGGCUCAGGAUUAACGCUGGCGGCAUGCCUAAUGCAUGCAAGUAGAACGAGCACUGAUAGCAAUAUCAGCGCGAGUUGCGAACGGCUGAGUAAUGGAUAGGAAUCUCCCCGAUGGUGUGGAAUACCUCAUCGAAAGAUGAGCUAAUACCGCAUGACCCCGCAAGGGAAAAGCGCUUAACUGCGCGCCGACGGAUGAGCCUAUCUCCCAUCAGGCAGUUGGUAGGGUAAUGGCCUACCAAACCUAUGACGGGUACCCGCCCUGAGAGGGGAAACGGGCAGAAUGGGACUGAGACACGGCCCAUACACCUACGGGCGGCAGCAACAGGGAAUCGUGCGCAAUGGACGAAAGUCUGACGCCGCAAUGCCGCGUGGAGGAUGAAGGCCUUAGGGUCGUAAACUCCUUUUGCCAAUGAGGAGAUGCAUUGGAGAAUAAGUGACUGCUAACUCUGUGCCAGCAGCCGCGGUAAUACAGAGGUCACAAGCGUUAUCCGGAUUUAUUGGGCGUAAAGCGUUUCGUAGGUGGGUUUAUAAGUUAUUUUUCAAAUACCGAGGCUCAACCUCGGGAAGGGAGAUAAUACUGUAAGUCUUGAUUUUUGGUGGGGUAUCUGGAACUGAUAGUGUAGUAGUGAAAUACGUUGAUAUUAUCAGGAACUCCAAGGGCGAAGGCAGGAUACUAACCAAUUAAUGACACUGAGGAACGACAGCUAGGGGAGCGAAAGGGAUUAGAGACCCCUGUAGUCCUAGCCGUAAACUAUGCUCGCUAGGGAUUGGGCCGUAAGGUUUAGACCCGUAAGCUAACGCGUUAAGCGAGCCGCCUGGGGAGUACGACCGCAAGGUUAAAACUCAAAGGAAUUGACGG
rnacentral:rRNA from 1 species